UACGUAGGGUGCAAGCGUUGUCCGGAAUUAUUGGGCGUAAAGGGCUCGUAGGCGGUCUGUCACGUCGGGAGUGAAAACUCAGGGCUUAACCCUGAGCCUGCUUCCGAUACGGGCAGACUAGAGGUAUGCAGGGGAGAACGGAAUUCCUGGUGUAGCGGUGAAAUGCGCAGAUAUCAGGAGGAACACCAAUGGCGAAGGCAGCUCGCUGGGACGGUACUGACGCUGAGGCACGAAAGCGUGGGGAUCAAACAGG
rnacentral:rRNA from 1 species